UAAUCUAAAAUCUCAAACUUUCCUUUUUCUCUUUUCCCUCUUCUUGCUUUUAUUCGGUUUCUCAAAUUCCCGCUUCUUCCCCAUCCCAUUUCCUAUGUCCCUGGAGAUGCCCUUCUGAAACAUUUAGAAACCACCAUCACACACCAUAAUGAAGAAAUGAGGUAGCGAAAUAUGGCAAGUGCAGGGUCAACCUUAAGCUUCGGGAAGUAAAGCCCUAGAUUAGGGCUCCAAAUACUUUUAGAUCUACCCAACGUUAGGGUUAAUGCUUCAAAUUUAAAAUAGAUUUGAGGUCUUGCCCAAUCAUUCAUUAACAGAUUUUGUGCACUUGAUAAAGCACGCCAGGUGUUCGAUGCCAUGCCGAAGAGAGGCGCUUUCAAUUUUACGCAUGCCAGCAAGAUUAUAUGUAACGUUAAGUAUACACAAUUAAGAAAGUGUGCAGAAAUUGAUUAAUUUCUCUCUUCUUACAAGUAUUUUUAAUCUUUUUGUUAGGACUUGGGAGUUUAGUGGAAGAGUGAAAGGUAAAAGCUGGAUAUUGUAGACACAACAAGUGCUCAAGAAUCAAGAUGCUUUUCUAGCUGGAGUAUCAUCAAAACAGUAAUGCAUUAAAACAGUCUAUCUAUACUCAAUCGUUCUUAAAAGGGUAGUGAAUGAACCACUUGAAAGUAUAUGAUAUCCUAUGUUCUUGGUUUAGAUGGGAAUAGCAUGGCAAAAGUGUUUUAUGAGCUUUGUACAGUGUAAUUGAGGGUGUCUUGGUGGCGUCUUUGUUCGGUCUUAGUUCAAUGGUUGGAUUGCUGAUGAAUCUAGGCGUUGUUUUGCCUAUUGUCUUUAAUGAUUCAAAGUAUAUUCACUAUGAGGGUGCUAAGGUUUAAACCAAGCGUCCGCUAAGUAUUGAAGAGGGCCACUUAAGG